AACGAACGCUGGCGGCAGGCCUAACACAUGCAAGUCGAACGGAUGUAGCAAUACAUUAGUGGCGCACGGGUGCGUAACGCGUGGGAAUUUGCCUUUUAGUCUGGAAUAACACAGGGAAACUUGUGCUAAUACCGGAUACUCCCGAGAGGGGAAAGUUUUUCGCUAAAAGAUAAGCCCGCGUUAGAUUAGCUAGUUGGUGAGGUAAUGGCUCACCAAGGCUACGAUCUAUAGCUGGUCUGAGAGGAUGAUCAGCCACACUGGAACUGAGACACGGUCCAGACUCCUACGGGAGGCAGCAGUGGGGAAUAUUGGACAAUGGGGGCAACCCUGAUCCAGCCAUGCCGCGUGAGUGAAGAAGGUCUUCGGAUUGUAAAGCUCUUUUGGCGGGGAAGAUGAUGACUGUACCCGCAGAAUAAGCUCCGGCUAACUUCGUGCCAGCCGCCGCAGUAA
rnacentral:rRNA from 1 species